AACAAACGCUGGCGGCGUGCCUAACACAUGCAAGUCGUACGUGAAAUCUGCUUCGGUGGAUGAGUAAAGUGGCGCACGGGUGAGUAACGCGUGGAUAAUCUGCCCUUUAGUCGGGAAUAACUCAUCGAAAGGUGGGCUAAUACCGGAUGAUGCUGUUGUUGCUUCGGUGAUACAGCCAAAGGGGGCCUCUAUUUAUAAGCUCUUGCUGAAGGAUGAGUCCGCGUACCAUUAGCUAGUUGGCAGGGUAAAGCCUACCAAGGCAACGAUGGUUAGCUGGUCUGAGAGGAUGAUCAGCCACACUGGAACUGAGACACGGUCCAGACUCCUACGGGUGGCAG
rnacentral:rRNA from 1 species